AUGAGAGGCAAAAUUAUAUUUGAAGUUCUUCUGUGCCCAGCCCCUGGAAUUCUCCAAUAACAUGCUGCAUGUCAGCACUUCUCUGAACUUCAGGGAAUGUGCAGUGUCUGCAAAUCUUACAUGUCACCUUAAAUGUACUUGCAACACCACCAGAGUUAUCUUGAAAGAAGUCAUUGAUCAGCAAGUUGGAACACCCGGCAAAGCAAAGACCUAUUUGUGAGUGUAUGCAUUGAGCUGGGGUGGCAGAGGAGGUGGCGUAUGGGAAUCUCUGUAAUCACAGUGUCUCCUGGCUGACAAGAACAAGAAAUAACUGUUCUGACACCUCACCAAAAUGUCUUCUUCCUCAGCAUCCAAAUCCUGGAAAUAGGAAAAGACAAGUCCCUGUAACCAUUUUCUCCACUCCGUAUCCUUCUUUAUUUUCUCCAAAGCACUCAUCUCUACCUAAUACAAUGUAUACUGGUUUAUAAUCAGUCAACCCCUAAUAGAAUGUAAGCUUCACAAGAGUGUCUUGCUUUUCUGCUGUAUCCCUAGAACCUACAAUAAUGCCUGGCAUCUAUUGGCUACCCCAAAAAUAUGUUUGAAUGAAUAAAUGGUCAACUCUUAUUUGGACUUAUGAUGCCAUAAUGAAAAAUCUUUAAUAACUGAAAUAAUAUGAUAUGAAGCUAUAAUUUAAUUUUGUUCAGUUCUUCUUUACAUUGAAAUGUUUUAAUUUUUACGAAACCAACUUUAUUUACCUUUUUUGUGACAUUCUUCAUUAUGUUAUAGAUGAAACAUCCUCUUUCACCCUGACAUAAAUAACACUUAUAUGUCCUUCUUGAUUGGUGGGUUUUAUAUCUGCAUGUUACUCCUCAACUAACUUACAAUUUAUGUUGAUGGAAAGUUUUAUACUUUUUUCUUGUUUUUAUUCCUUGCUAUUUUUCCCCCAAAUAGCUAACUGAUUGUCUUCAUACCAUUCAUUAAAUAACAUUUAUUCUCCCAAUUAAUACUCUUGGCUAUUUUAACAGUUGAAUUAUAAUGUUCAAUGACAUUAAACC
rnacentral:lncRNA from 1 species